rnacentral:tRNA from 1 species
GCCUGGCUGGCUCAGUUGGUAGAGCAUGCAACUCUUGACCCUCUGGUUGUGAGUUCAAGCCCCACGUUGGGCC